CGCAAGCCUGACGGAGCAACGCCGCGUGAGGGAUGAAGGCCUCUGGGCUGUAAACCUCUUUUCUCAAGGAAGAAGAUCUGACGGUACUUGAGGAAUAAGCCACGGCUAAUUCCGUGCCAGCAGCCGCGGUAAUACGGGAGUGGCAAGCGUUAUCCGGAAUCAUUGGGCGUAAAGCGUCCGCAGGCGGCCUUGAAAGUCUGUCGUUAAAGCGUGGAGCUUAACUCCAUUUCAGCGAUGGAAACUACAAGGCUUGAGUGUGGUAGGGGCAGAGGGAAUUCCCGGUGUAGCGGUGAAAUGCGUAGAUAUCGGGAAGAACACCAGUGGCGAAGGCGCUCUGCUGGGCCAUAACUGACGCUCAUGGACGAAAGCCAGGGGAGCG
rnacentral:rRNA from 1 species